rnacentral:rRNA from 1 species
CCUACGGGAGGCAGCAGUGGGGAAUAUUGCACAAUGGGGGAAACCCUGAUGCAGCGACGCCGCGUGAGUGAAGAAGUAAUUCGUUACGUAAAGCUCUAUCAGCAGGGAAGAAAAUGACGGUACCUGAGUAAGAAGCCCCGGCUAACUACGUGCCAGCAGCCGCGGUAAUACGUCGGGGGCAAGCGUUAUCCGGAUUUCCUGGGUGUAAAGGGAGCGUAGACGGUGCGACAAGUCUGGAGUGAAAUGCCGCAGAUUAACUGGGGAACUGCAUUGGAAACUGGCGACCUAGAGUGCGGGAGGGGUAAGCGGAAUUCGUGGUGUAGCGGUGAAAUGCGUAGAUAUUAGGAGGAACACCGGUGGCGAAGGCGGCCUACUGGACCGUAACUGACGUUGAGGCUCGAAGGCGUGGGGAGCAAACAGGAUUAGAUACCCGAGUAGUC